UCCUACGGGAGGCAGCAGUAGGGAAUCUUCCGCAAUGGACGAAAGUCUGACGGAGCAACGCCGCGUGAGUGAUGAAGGCUUUCGGGUCGUAAAACUCUGUUGUUAGGGAAGAACAAGUGCUAGUUGAAUAAGCUGGCACCUUGACGGUACCUAACCAGAAAGCCACGGCUAACUACGUGCCAGCAGCCGCGGUAAUACGUAGGUGGCAAGCGUUAUCCGGAAUUAUUGGGCGUAAAGCGCGCGCAGGUGGUUUCUUAAGUCUGAUGUGAAAGCCCACGGCUCAACCGUGGAGGGUCAUUGGAAACUGGGAGACUUGAGUGCAGAAGAGGAAAGUGGAAUUCCAUGUGUAGCGGUGAAAUGCGUAGAUAUUUGGAGGAACACCAGUGGCGAAGGCGGCUCUCUGGUCUGUUACUGACGCUGAGGCGCGAAAGCGUGGGGAGCAAACAGGAUUAGAUACCCUGGUAGUCCACGCCGUAAACGAUGAGUGCUAAGUGUUAGAGGGUUUCCGCCCUUUAGUGCUGAAGUUAACGCAUUAAGCACUCCGCCUGGGGAGUACGGCCGCAAGGCUGAAACUCAAAGGAAUUGACGGA
rnacentral:rRNA from 1 species